rnacentral:lncRNA from 1 species
UUAUAUUUAGCCCUGAGAGGUUUGCAUACCAAUCUAAUUCAUUUAAAGUUUGAUUUAAGGAGUGUUCACUUCCAUCUAGAAUAAGUGAAGUAUCAUCUGCAAACUGUGAUAACUUAUGUUCUAUCCUAGCCACAGUUAUGCCAGUAAUAUUUUUAUUCCCUCGUAUUCUAAUUGCCAAAAUUUCUGCACAAAGUAUAAAAAGGUAGGGUGAUAAGGGAUCCCCUUGUCUACAGCCACGUCCUAUUUGAAAAAAGUCUGAAAGAUUUCCUCCCUGAAUGACUGCAGAUGAGAUAUUAUUAUAAAAUACUUUAACCCAGUUAAUAAUAGAUUCACCAAAAUUAAAUAAUUGCAACACUGACAACAAAAAGUCCCAAGAUAGAGAAUCAAAUGCUUUUUCAAAAUCAAUUAAAAGCAAUAAACCUGGAAUAUCAUGUUCUUCUGUAUAUUGUAAAAGAUCAUAAAUCAAUCUGAUGUUAUCCCCAAUAAAACGCCCACUUAUAAAGCCAGUUUGAUCUAAAUCAAUCAGUUUGUCUAAAACUUUUUUAAAUCUACUAGCAAUAACCCCUGAACCAAUUUUGUAUACAGUAUUAAGUAAGGAGAUUGGUCUCCAAUUUUUGAGUAAAUGCCUUGGUUUAUUGUCUUUUGGUAAGCAUGUAAUGAUUCCCUGCCUUUGAGUCACUGAUAAAUGUCCCAAGUUUGACCCAUGAUUUAAAGAUUUCAC